GGUCGCAGUGGUACAGUCCAGCUAAACGCGCGAAGACUGAUUUCAGAGCACGCGCGUGGGUAAACAGCAGUUUCUGGACGCAUUUUCUGGACUUUGGCGACAGACACAUUGAGCGGUGACUUUGUGAAACGAAAACCAAACUCGGAGAAAGAUUUAGGAACCGUCCAUCCAUCCGCGCGACGGCAGGAGAGAAGACAUGCUAGCUGCAGCGACACGGAGCUCCUGAGAACUGCAGGUCACCAUCAUCAAGCCGGGAAAUUUCUCUGGAACCACCAACGUCUUGAAGACCAAAACUGCUUUGGAUCUCUGGGUGAAACUCCACGAGGACUGAAAGAAAUUCUUCAACCGUUGGUUGUGAACACUCACCAGAACCCUGCUGUGGAUCAGAAGAGCGAGUCCUGGUCCGUUUGAGAACGGAGGCCACUGACCACCAAACUGU